AGAAAUAGGGUUUCCUAAAACAUUCCUCAUUUUCCACCCACUCUAUCUGAAAAUUGAUGUCGCCGCCUGCCAUCCUCUGCGUCUAUUACCCAUUUGCACAAAAGAACUUGCCCCUGGAUUCUCCCUAGAGGCUCCAUCUGUAUUGAUUUUACUCCAUCCUUGUUGAGGAAAAUCCCAUUUCACCUUUGUGACUUUCAUCCUUGUUUUGUGCCUUGCCAACUCUGCAAAUAUUUCUGGCCAUGUAUUGAGAAAUUCUUGAUCUGAGUAUGAGUAGAGGAUGCAAUAGCUGAUUUCGUGCAAAUUGCAGCGACGUUUGAGGUAUGGUAAUCUAUGGAUUUCAGAGCUGACUCCAGGCCUCCUCUUAUUUUACUUUGUCUUUAUUUCAGUUUUAGGGGAAAAUAUGUAUUUUUAUAUUUUAGUUAUGUACUAAAUGCUCUUACACCAUGACACCAGAUUUUUGGGACUUAUGAGAUUUAUUUUAGACUCUUAUUUUAUUAUGUUCUA